rnacentral:misc_RNA from 1 species
AAACAUCUGCUAAAGCAAGUUAACGCCCAGAAAGAAAGAAAAAAAAGGAAAAACGAAGGAUCAAGAUGACUGAUUCAAAAAGAGUGAACAGCUUAUACCUGGAAGAACUAUCCCAUCAGCACUUGAAAAUAAAAUAUGCUCCUUGUGAACUCAAUCUGACUCGGAGGAAUAUUGAGGAUAGGGCUUCAGUGUCGUUACCAUCUUAGACAGUACCUCUCCCAUAUCUUCCACUUCUUCUUUUCCAAAACCCCAACUUUGGAGCAAUGGUGCCCCAAUGGCUCCUCGUUCAA